ACAUAAGUAACGAUAAAGCGGGUGAAAAGCCCGCUCGCCGGAAGACCAAGGGUUCCUGUCCAACGUUAAUCGGGGCAGGGUGAGUCGACCCCUAAGGCGAGGCCGAAAGGCGUAGUCGAUGGGAAACGGGUUAAUAUUCCCGUACUUGGUGUUACUGCGAAGGGGGGACGGAGAAGGCUAUGUUGGCCGGGCGACGGUUGUCCCGGUUUAAGCGUGUAGGCUGGUUUUCCAGGCAAAUCCGGAAAAUCAAGGCUGAGGCGUGAUGACGAGGCACUACGGUGCUGAAGCAACAAAUGCCCUGCUUCCAGGAAAAGCCUCUAAGCAUCAGGUAACAUCAAAUCGUACCCCAAACCGACACAGGUGGUCAGGUAGAGAAUACCAAGGCGCUUGA
rnacentral:rRNA from 1 species